GCGGUGACCACCCCGUGCGUUCCUCCCUGCCGGCACGGCGCCACCUGCAGUCCUCACAAUUCCUGCACCUGUCCCGAGGGCACUGCGGGCCUGCGCUGUGAGAGACUGACAUGCCCUGUGGUCACCACCGUGGUCAGCAUGGCUCGGGCGGUGAGAAAA